rfam:Natronomonas moolapensis 8.8.11 complete genome
GCCAAGGUGGCAGAGUCUGGCCUUACGCGGUUGCCUGCAGAGCAGCUAUACGCCGGUUCAAAUCCGGCCCUUGGCU